rnacentral:rRNA from 1 species
GACGAACGCUGGCGGCGUGCUUAACACAUGCAAGUCGAACGGAAAGGCCCUGCUUUUUUGGGGUGCUCGAGUGGCGAACGUGUGAGUAACACGUGAGUAACCUGCCCUUGACUUUGGGAUAACUUCAGGAAACUGGGGCUAAUACCGGAUAGGUGCUCCUGCUGCUUGGUGGGGUUUGGACAGUUUCGGCGGUUGGGGAUGGACUGGCGGCUUAUCAGCUUGUUGGUGGGGUAGUGGCUUACCAGGGCUUUGACGGGUAGCCGGCCUGAGAGGGUGACCGGCCACAUUGGGACUGAGAGACGGACCAGAGUCCUACGGGAGGCAGCAGUGGGGAAUAUUGCACAAUGGGCGGAAGCGUGAUGAAGAAACGCCGGGUGCGGGAUGAAGGCCUUCGGGUUGGAAACCGCUUUAGCCUGUGACGAAGCGGGAGUGACGGUAAUGGGUAAAGAAGCACCGGCUAACUACGUG